UAAGCUACUUGAGGCCGAAUUCACGGAGUCCGAAAUCGAAAGACAUAACAAAUGUAAUUUCACACAGUUAUUCGUUUACACCCUUAACAUUCUGGCCGGGGGGUAGGGGGGAGGUAGCUUGAAGGCUCCAAUGACUUCCCUUCUAAAAGCUCCGUAUGCAUGGCUAUCUUUUACGUAAGCGGAACUCGGAGAGUGUAAUCGUUCGAGAAUACAAGAUCACGGAUACACUGUAUCUAUACAAUAAUUUACCAGUUUGUCAGAAUGAGAUUGGUUCUUUGAGCGCGUUUAGUGCUAAUUUUAGUUGUUUAUAGUGAUGAUGACUUUCACAUAUCCUUGCGUUUCUAUAACAUCACGUUUCCAUAACGACUUAUUUUUCAGAAGUAAAAGUAUAUUACCUUCUAAUGAUUUUUCGUGAAAAAAAAAAACGCGUCAAAAUGUGAAACAAAAUACCGAAAUAAAAAAACAAGAGUACUAUAUCAGUGGCGAUACGCAGACCGCGAGUUGAGCCCCGCUAAUCGCUGAAUCUACUCGCUGACAGMAUACARAUCGGAGCUACACCUAAAAGUGUUUGACAAGUGUAAACAAAAAAACAAGCGAACGUCAGCUACGGAAAAACCCCGGACGUGACGCAGGCGACGGAGUAAGGAUGAUGUCGCUCAUCCUGUUGCCAAGAUGAAAAAGCCAGGGAAAAAGCCAGCUUAUUUGACAAAAAAGACGAUUUUCGUGGCAUUGAGAUUUGAAUAGAGCGGACUGCCUAUAGUCAUUGUAUUGAGACCUUGGUGCAUAGAAGCGUGGAAAGUACACGUGCCAGACUUGAAAUUCUUAUGUUUUACUGACAAGACUAAACAAUGAACAACAGCCAUCCUCAACUUCACAGAAAAAAAAAAUCAAAUCACGCUCUUCUCGUAAUCAAUUAAUACUCCACGAAUAAAAUCACGAAGAAUUCUAAUGACACUUUAGUGGUUCUGGAUUACUUUUACAAGGGCCUCUGUGUUCGUCUCAUUGAUAUUUGAAUCUGUAUAAAUUGUACAAUGUAUAUUAUUGUUCCUGGUCAAGUUUGGAUCAUAAUUAAAAAAAAACCCGAAAAAUGUAAAGUUCAAUUGCUAUUUCUAGAAUAAUUUCGAGGUUAAAUGACUGUGAAGCCCUAAACGUUUAGUGCGAUGUGUGUAGAAAUAUAACGCUUUGUUUAGAAUUAAAAUUACUGUCAGCUGUA